UGGACGUGGGUGUUGCCGUCAGUUCCGGCCCCCGAGUGGCGUUUGGGCGCGUAGCUCUCGAGCUGAGACGUACAUGCCCUUCCACGACGUCCAACACUAAGCUGCUCCCGGCUUCGGCUGCGAGGACGGCGCCUGCAUAUUCCUACAUCUCCCAGAGUCCUUUGGGCCGUGACUGGGCAGAACGACCAUGCGGGAAACAAAC
rnacentral:snoRNA from 1 species